UGGGGAAUUUUGGACAAUGGGCGAAAGCCUGAUCCAGCAAUGCCGCGUGCAGGAAGAAUGCCUUAGGGUUGUAAACUGCUUUUGUACAGAAAGAAAAGAUUCAAGCUAAUACCUUGAAUUUAUGACGGUACUGUAAGAAUAAGCACCGGCUAACUACGUGCCAGCAGCCGCGGUAAUACGUAGGGUGCAAGCGUUAAUCGGAAUUACUGGGCGUAAAGCGUGCGCAGGUGGUUUUGUAAGACAGGCGUGAAAUUCCCGGGCUCAACCUGGGGAUUGCGCUUGUGACUGCAAGGCUAGAGUGUGGCAGAGGGAGAUAGAAUUCCGCGUGUAGCAGUGAAAUGCGUAGAUAUGCGGAGGAAUACCGAUGGCGAAGGCAGUCUCCUGGGCCUACACUGACGCU
rnacentral:rRNA from 1 species